rnacentral:rRNA from 1 species
CAGCAGCCGCGGGAAUACGUAGGUGGCAAGCGUUGUCCGGAAUUAUUGGGCGUAAAGGGCUCGCAGGCGGUUUCUUAAGUCUGAUGUGAAAGCCCCCGGCUCAACCGGGGAGGGUCAUUGGAAACUGGGAAACUUGAGUGCAGAAGAGGAGAGUGGAAUUCCACGUGUAGCGGUGAAAUGCAUAGAGAUGUGGAGGAACACCAGUGGCGAAGGCGACUCUCUGGUCUGUAACUGACGCUGAGGAGCGAAAGCGUGGGGAGCGAACAGGAUUAGAUACCCGUGUAGUCCCUGUCUCUUAUAC